rnacentral:tRNA from 1 species
AUUUUCUUAGUAUAAUAGUACAAAUGGCUUCCAACCAUUUAGCCCUGGCUACCCCCAGGAGAAAAUA